rnacentral:snoRNA from 1 species
AUGUAUCUAGUGCUAAACAAAUCUUUGGAGGUAAAUUAGCAGCAUGACUAACUUAGCCAUUGCUGUCAGUCACCUUCAGACAUGU